rnacentral:rRNA from 1 species
ACGUACGCUGGCGGCACGCCUAACACAUGCAAGUCGAACGAAGUAGCAAUACUUAGUGGCAGACGGGUGAGUAACAUGUAGGUAUCUGCCCUUUGGCCUGGAAUAACACGAGGAAACUUGUGCUAAUACCGGAUAAGUCUUUACAGAGAAAGCUUUAUGCACCAUUGGAUGAGCCUGCACUUGAUUAGUUUGUUGGUGGGGUAAUGGCCUACCAAGACUGUGAUCAAUAGCUGAUUUGAGAGGAUGAUCAGCCACAUUGGGACUGAGACACGGCCCAAACUCCUACGGGAGGCAGCAGUGGGGAAUCUUGCACAAUGGAGGAAACUCUGAUGCAGCGAUGCCGCGUGAGUGAAGAAGGCCUUUGGGUUGUAAAGCUCUUUCGUCGGGGAAGAAAAUGACUGUACCCGAAUAAGAAGGUCCGGCUAACUUCGUGCCCAGCAGCCGCGGUAAUACGAAGGGACCUAGCGUAGUUCGGAAUUACUGGGCUUAAAGAGUUCGUAGGUGGUUGAAAAAGUUAGUGGUGAAAUCCCAGAGCUUAACUCUGGAACUGCCAUUAAAACUUUUCAGCUAGAGUAUGAUAGAGGAAAGCAGAAUUUCUAGUGUAGAGGUGAAAUUCGUAGAUAUUAGAAAGAAUACCAAUUGCGAAGGCAGCUUUCUGGAUCAUUACUGACACUGAGGAACGAAAGCAUGGGUAGCGAAGAGGAUUAGAUACCCUCGUAGUCCAUGCCGUAAACGAUGUGUGUUAGACGUUGGAAAUUUAUUUUCAGUGUCGCAGCGAAAGCGAUAAACACACCGCCUGGGGAGUACGACCGCAAGGUUAAAACUCAAAUGAAUUGACGGGGACCCGCACAAGUAGUGGAGCAUGUGGUUUAAUUCGAAGAUACGCGCAGAACCUUACCAACACUUGACAUGUUCGUCGCGACUCUAAGAGAUUAGAGUUUUCGGUUCGGCCGGACGAAACACAGGUGCUGCAUGGCUGUCGUCAGCUCGUGUCGUGAGAUGUUGGGUUAAGUCCCGCAACGAGCGCAACCCUCACUUUUAGUUGCCAUCAUUAAGUUGGGCACUCUGAAAGAACUGCCAGUGAUAAGCUGGAGGAAGGUGGGGAUGACGUCAAGUCCUCAUGGCCCUUACGUGUUGGGCUACACACGUGCUACAAUGGUAUCUACAACAGGAAGCAAGACUGCGAAGUUAAGCAAAUCCCUAAAAGAUACCUCAGUUCGGAUUGCACUCUGCAACUCGAGUGCAUGAAGCUGGAAUUACUAGUAAUCGUGGAUCAGCGUGCCACGGUGAAUGCGUUCCCGGGUCUUGUACACACCGCC